GGCUGGGAAGGCUGGGAGAGGAUGAACGGACAUGCAAAUGAGAUGCUGAAGAAGCCGGCCAGGAUCCCCCGGAAAGGGGGCCCGAGGGAGGGGCUGGCUGUCUCCUCGCCCCGCCCCCAUCUCUGGGCUGAGUCACCAGCCACCAAGGGAACUUCCUUUGCUGGACAGGGCAGCCAGCUCCUUGGGCCUCCCCUCCCCGGCCGAGGAGGUGCCCCUCCUUGGAGUCUGGCCCUCUACACUACACGUGACCCUGAUGUCGUAGUCCUGCGGGCCUGCGUGGCCGGGGCCGAGCUCGGGGGCCAGUGUCUUCCUACCCCACCGCCCCCCGCCUCCUCCCUCAGCAUCCGCAGACCUGGAGCAGGUGGCCCGGCUUUGACAAGACCCCAGCCCGCCUUCACCCCCCUCCCCGCUGCUGCCUGCUUCCCUCUGCCCUUGUGUUUCCAACGGAAAUGCCUUCCUGUAGUUCAGAUCGCGGUGGGGCCCGGACGGUGCCGAGGAGAGCUUCUCUCCAGCACGUCUGGGGCUCACAGCUCCUGAACCGGAGGCAGCCAGGGGGCCCGGGCCCCGUGUGUCUGUGGAGCGCAUGGCUCCCCGGCCAUCCUCGCUGUGCCCUCACACCUCUGGAGCCCGCUCUGUGCCCCACCGGGCCAGCCGCACAAAUGGCCCUGUCUUAAAACGUGGACGCCUUCCUUUGCCCGCGGAAUGUUCCGCUGUGUGGUUUGUACAGUCCGCUGAUGGGCACUUUGGGUUUUUUUCUGGCCAGCCCAGGACCACCAGUGGGCAGGAUGCCUCUCCAGAAGCGGGGCCGCUGGGUCAGACGUCGUAUUGGUAGCUCUGACAGACGGGGCCGAGCCUGGGUCCUCACGGCCCGCAGCCGUGCGUAACAAAGCCGUGGCCGGUCACACAGGCGAACCGGCGGUCGUCGCGAUCAUCGAGGCUCUGGGAGCGUGUCUGUCACCGACAGCUUUGUGGUUUUGCUGUUUACCUUGGAACCUGGCCCGUUUGGAAUUUAUUUUGUGAGACUACAGACCCAGCUUCGUUCUUUCCAGAUGGCUGUCUGCCUCCCCGGGUGUCGGAUGUUGCUGCGUUUUGUCCAGCGCCUUUCGGACAUCCAGUGGGGGUGCGUGUGCGAGCUGCUCGGAGGGGAGAGCCGACGGUCCGGAGGCCAGGAGGCACGCGGGCUGUGCGAGCAGGUGAUUUGAGGAGGUUUCCCAAAAGUGCUCUUCUCGGAGGUGUGGGCAGGGAUUAGGGACACGGCGAGGGAGAGUGCAGCCCGGGGCCAAGCGAGCCCAGGCCCGAGGGCAGAGCUAGCAGAGCGUGGGAACCGUCUCUGGGCUCUGGGUGGAGGGCGGAGCCGCCCACAGGACGGGGAGGCACAGCGCCAAGACCGGGACUCAUCUGGGUUUUGAGAACUUGAUUGGUUGACGUGGGUCCCAGAGCUCCGGCUGGCGUGGCUCUGGAACGGUCUGCGGGUGCCGGAACCACAAGGAGCUCACGGGGUGGGGGGAGGUCGCAGGAAGCCUGGGCUCUCAGAGAAGAGCCCGUGCGUUCCAGGGGUGUGACCGAGCCCCCCCGGCAGGAAGGGAGAGACGCAGACACCGAGGAGAAGCCACUUGGAGACGGAGACGGGGCAGAGGCUGGAGCGAGGCGGCCCCAG